UACGUACGAGGCGAGCGUUAUCCGGAAUUACUGGGCGUAAAGCGCGCGCAGGCGGACCAUUAAGUUGGGCGUGAAAUCUCCCGGCCUAACUGGGAGGGGUCGCCCAAGACUGGUGGUCUUGAGGACAGCAGAGGUGGGUGGAAUUCCCGGUGUAGUGGUGAAAUGCGUAGAGAUCAGGAGGAACACCGGUGGCGAAGGCGGCCCACUGGGCUGUCACUGACGCUGAGGCGCGAAAGCUCGGGGAGCGAACGGG
rnacentral:rRNA from 1 species